GACGAACCGUGCUAACGUUGUUCGGAAUCACUGGGCUUAAAGGGCGCGUAGGCGGCUUGCCAAGUCAGGGGUGAAAUCUUUCGGCUUAACCGGAAAAGUGCCUUUGAUACUGGCGGGCUCGAGGGAGGUAGGGGUAUGUGGAACUUCCGGUGGAGCGGUGAAAUGUUUUGAUAUCGGAAGGAACGCCGGUGGCGAAAGCGACGUACUGGACCUCUUCUGACGCUGAGGCGCGAAAGCUAGGGGAGCAAACGGG
rnacentral:rRNA from 1 species